GCGGCUGUAGUUUAGUGGUAGAACUUUAGCUUCCCAAGCUAACCGUGCGGGUUCGAUUCCCGUCAGCCGCUCCA
rnacentral:tRNA from 1 species